UACGUAGGUGGCAAGCGUUAUCCGGAAUUAUUGGGUGUAAAGGGAGCGUAGACGGUUAAGCAAGUCUGAUGUGAAAACCCGGGGCUCAACUCCGGGAUUGCAUUGGAAACUGUUUAACUAGAGUGCAGGAGAGGUAAGUGGAAUUCCUAGCGUAGCGGUGAAAUGCGUAGAUACUAGGAGGAACACCGGCGGCGAAUGCGGCUUACUGGACUGUAACUGACGUUGAGGCUCGAAAGCGUGGGGAGCAAAC
rnacentral:rRNA from 1 species